rnacentral:rRNA from 1 species
ACGUAGGUGGCAAGCGUUGUCCGGAUUUACUGGGCGUAAAGGGUGCGUAGGUGGAUGUUUAAGUCAGAUGUGAAACCCCUGGGCUCAACUCAGGGACUGCAUUUGAAACUGUGGUUCUUGAGUGAUGGAGAGGUAAGUGGAAUUCCUAGUGUAGCGGUGAAAUGCGUAGAUAUUAGGAAGAACAUCAGUGGCGAAGGCGGCUUUCUGGACUGUAACUGACGCUGAGGCAUGAAAGUGUGGGGAGCAAACA